rnacentral:misc_RNA from 1 species
AAAUAACAGCAGCAAGGAGGAGGAGGAGGGGAGGGAUCCUAAGAGCAGAGCCCCAGGUGAAAAAGGCCAUAGAGGAAGAAAUCCUGCGGCGCCAAGGCCUACACUCCUCGUCGUCGUGAUCGUACUCGGAGACUGCUUGCUUAAGAGACAAGCGAGGCCUUAAUCCCCCAAGAUUUGCCAGAUUUGGGCCUUGGUUGCAAAAAAAAAAAAAAGGAAAUUGCAAAGGGGGGAAAUGCAGAUCGGAUAAAGUAAUGGUAUUUAUAUUUAGGCCAUAAGAUAAUUGAUAGCUAUUAAAAGAAUACAAUAAAUGGUUUUGUUCGCACCUUCACCUAAUCGUCUAAUUGAGAAAUUGAUGUAAUGUGUUUACUUUGAGAGGAGGAAGGUGCAGCUGCAGGUGCUGCUCGAUCAAGCGGACUUGCUUCUCUC